CUCUCUCAUCCACUCUACUGCCCUUCUUCUCCUUUGGAAGCAAGUGCUCGUGUGACUCAGAGCCAUGUCCAGCUGCCAGCCUUGCACCCCUUGCUACCAGCCCUGCACCCCUUGCUACUGGCCCUGCAACCCUUGCUACCAGCCUUGCACC